rnacentral:rRNA from 1 species
UAGGGAAUCUUCCACAAUGGGCGCAAGCCUGAUGGAGCAACACCGCGUGAGUGAAGAAGGGUUUCGGCUCGCAAAGCUCUGUUGUUGGAGAAGAACGNGCGUGAGAGUAACUGUUCACGCAGUGACGGUAUCCAACCAGAAAGUCACGGCUAACUACGUGCC